UUCGCAAUGCCCGAAAGGGUGACGAUGCGACGCCGCGUGAGCGAAGAAGGCCCUAGGGUUGUAAAGCGCUGUCGAGGGUUAUGAAAUAUAGAUGGGUUAAUACCCCAUUUAUUUGACAAAAGCCCAAAAGGAAGCCACGGCUAACUCUGUGCCAGCAGCCGCGGUAAUACAGAGGUGGCGAGCGUUGUUCGGUAUUAUUGGGCGUAAAGAGCACGUAGGUGGUUUUGUAAGUCAGGUGUGAAAGCCUUCUGUUCAAAGGAAGAACGGCAUCUGAAACUGCAGAUCUUGAGUGUAGGAGGGGAGAGUGGAACUUCUGGUGGAGCGGUGAAAUGCGUAGAUAUCAGAAGGAACGUCGGCGGCGAAAGCGACUCUCUGGCCUAUUACUGACACUGAGGUGCGAAAGUUAGGGGAGCAAACGGGAUUAGAUACCCCGGUAGUCCUAACCGUAAACGAUGGGCACUAAGUAGAGGGGUUUU
rnacentral:rRNA from 1 species